rnacentral:rRNA from 1 species
GAUGAACGCUAACGGUGUGCUUAAUACAUGCAAGUCGAACGGACAAUGUGAAAGUGGCAACACUUUUGCAAAGUCAGUGGCGAACGGGUGAGUAACACGUAGGUAAUCUACCUUAAAGAUCGGGAUAACCUUCCGAAAGGAAGGCUAAUACCGGAUGUUUUAUAUUGAUCUUAUGGUUAAUAUAAAAAAGGUAGCCGCAAGGCCUCCGCUUUAAGAUGAGCCUGCGUCCUAUUAGCUUGUUGGUAAGGUAAUGGCUUACCAAGGCAAUGAUGGGUAGCCGGCCUGAGAGGGUGACCGGCCACACUGGGACUGAGAUACGGCCCAGACUCCUACGGGAGGCAGCAGUAGGGAAUCUUGCGCAAUGGGCGAAAGCCUGACGCAGCGACACCGUGUGAAGGAUGAAGGUCUUCGGAUUGUAAACUUCUGUCAAUUGGAGACGAAGGUAACAGGGUUAAUAGCCUCUGUUACUGACGGUAUUCAAUAAGGAAGUCUCGCUAACUCCGUGCCAGCAGCCGCGGUAAGACGGANGANGCAAGCGUUGUCCGGAAUUAUUGGGCGUAAAGAGCGCGU